rnacentral:hammerhead_ribozyme from 1 species
AUCCAGCUGAUGAAUCCCAAAUAGGACAAAACCUACGUUCUGGAU